rnacentral:rRNA from 1 species
AUUGAUUUUAUGCUUGCAUAAAUGAUUUUUGGAUUCGGAGCGAGUGGCGAACUGGUGAGUAACACGUGGGUAACCUGCCCCGAAGCUGGGGAUAACAUUUGGAAACAAGUGCUAAUACCGCAUAAUUAGUUGGAACCGCAUGGUUCCAACUUGAAAGAUGGCUCUGCUAUCACUUUGGGAUGGACCCGCGCCGUAUUAGUUAGUUGGUGAGAUAAAAGCCCACCAAGACGAUGAUACGUAGCCGACCUGAGAGGGUAAUCGGCCACAUUGGGACUGAGACACGGCCCAGACUCCUACGGGAGGCAGCAGUAGGGAAUCUUCCACAAUGGACGAAAGCCUGAUGGAGCAACGCCGCGUGAGUGAUGAAGGUUUUCGGAUCGUAAAACUCUGUUGUUAAAGAAGAACAAGUGUUAGAGUAACUGUUAACACUUUGACGGUAUUUAACCAGAAAGCCACGGCUAACUACGUGCCAGCAGCCGCGGUAAUACGUAGGUGGCAAGCGUUGUCCGGAUUUAUUGGGCGUAAAGCGAGCGCAGGCGGUUUUGUAAGUCUGCUGUGAAAGCCCUCAGCUCAACUGAGGAAGUGCAGUGGAAACUACAAAACUUGAGUACAGAAGAGGAAAGUGGAACUCCAUGUGUAGCGGUGAAAUGCGUAGAUAUAUGGAAGAACACCAGUGGCGAAGGCGGCUUUCUGGUCUGUUACUGACGCUGAGGCUCGAAAGCAUGGGUAGCGAACAGGAUUAGAUACCCUGGUAGUCCAUGCCGUAAACGAUGAAUACUAGGUGUUGGAGGGUUUCCGCCCUUCAGUGCCGCAGCUAACGCAUUAAGUAUUCCGCCUGGGGAGUACGACCGCAAGGUUGAAACUCAAAGGAAUUGACGGGGGCCCGCACAAGUGGUGGAGCAUGUGGUUUAAUUCGAUGCUACGCGAAGAACCUUACCAGCUCUUGACAUCUUCUGCCAACCCAAGAGAUUGGGCGUUCCCUUCGGGGACAGAAUGACAGGUGGUGCAUGGUUGUCGUCAGCUCGUGUCGUGAGAUGUUGGGUUAAGUCCCGCAACGAGCGCAACCCUUAUUAUUAGUUGCCAGCAUUUAGUUGGGCACUCUAGUGAGACUGCCGGUGAUAAA